rnacentral:rRNA from 1 species
AUUGAACGCUGGCGGCAGGCUUAACACAUGCAAGUCGAGCGAGCGGCGGACGGGUGAGUAAUGUCUGGGAACCUGCCUGAUGGAGGGGGAUAACUACUGGAAACGGUAGCUAAUACCGCAUACCAUCAGAUCUGCCCAGAUGGGAUUAGCUAGUAGGUGGGGUAAUGGCUCACCUAGGCGACGAUCCCUAGCUGGUCUGAGAGGAUGACCAGCCACACUGGAACUGAGACACGGUCUAGACUCCUACGGGAGGCAGAAGUGGGGAAGAUUGCACAAUGGGGGAAAGCCGGAUUCAGCCAUGCCGCGUGUGUGAAGAAGGCCUUCGGGUUGUAAAGCACUUUCAGCGGAGAGGCGUUACUCGCAGAAGAAGCACCGGCUAACUCCGUGCCAGCAGCCGCGGUAAUAC